UUUCCUUUAUACCGUGUCUGUUCUAAGUGGAAUCCUAUGUACAGUACUAGCAGGUGUAAAGUUUUUUCUGGGGAAGAUCCUUACCAGCAGAGCACUAAUAACUGAUGGUUUCAACUCUCUUGUUGGUGGGAUAAUGGGUUUCUCCAUCCUAAUAAGUGCUGAAGUCUUCAAACACAAUCCAUCUGUAUGGUUCCUUGAUGGUACAGUAGGAAUUCUAAUUGGGCUCAUCAUACUAACAUACGGGGCAAAGUUGCUAAUGGAUAUGGUUCCUCGUAUAAGGCAAACUCGCAAUUAUGAAAUGUUUGAAUAAAGAAGGUAGAAGAAGAAAUCUUAAAGAUUUUCUGUGGAAAAGAAAGACUGUAUAAAUUCCACAGAAAUAUUCAAGCAGGAGGUGCCAACAUCCUUACUGAAUAUGAAUUUUUUCUUCAAUACGUUUGUAUUCUGUGACACACAAUAUCAUCAAGUCAUGAACACACAAAUUGUGAUGUUUACAAAGAAAAUAACAUUGUAACCAUGUUUGUGUCUUCUUGAAAAAUAUGUAAACCAGUGUUGGAUGUUGGAUGUAUAUAAGAAGAUAUAUUGCAAUGUAGAUUACUUACUUCUAGUCUGUAAACAGUAUAUAUUGUUUGGCCUGGUUUUGAAUAUUUCAUUUCAGCAUUUGCUGUUUUACUUAAAAUCGCAACUGUGAAAGCUGACUGACAGUUAAAAUUUAAAUUAUUUUACACUAAAUAGAUAUGUACCAUCAGACUGAAAAUGAAGCACAACUAUUAAAAAUUUUGUUUCCUUCCUUACCUAUUUUAGCAGCAACACUUAAGUACAUGUUGCUAUGCAUUGUGUACACCAGCUUAAUGUUCAACUACCAGUGCAUGAGUUGUUCAGAAAAUAUAUAUGUUUCUAAACAAUUAUAUAUGUUACAGAACUAAGCACACUACAACAAAUUUAUAAAUGUGCUCUGAAAUCAUACAGUUUACUUGAAAACAAAGAUAUGUAUUGCUUUUGUAAGUCUAUAUUACUUCAAGAAAGUCACAUAUAUGUUUAACAAUCUAAGAGGCACCAAUGAUGCAAAGUAACAGAAAAAUGUGAUACUGCUUUAAAUCUCUGUUCUGUAGCACAAUACAUUCAUUUGCCAGUGGCACAUUUUCAUUUUAUUGUUAAGUUUAGCAAAUUUAGUACAAACUAAGCCAAGAGCCACAGCGUGCUUGUUUACAGAUACUACAUGGAAGAAAGCACAGAGCUCUUGAGUAGGGAGGAAUAUUAGCUUAAGUAAAACCUUAUUUCAUUAUGUAAGACAUGUCAUUACAGUAUUUUGGACUGUAGCCAUACAAAAAAAAAUCAACAGAUGUACUAAAUUCUUGAUGGAUCUCAAAAUGCAGCCACUUUAAAUCUGGGUGCAAAGAUGUAAUCUACAAUAAUAGACGUGUUCACACACAUAUACACACUGAUUGGGAUGCUGUUAUAGAUCACAUUGCAUCAUAUUCCUGAUACUCUACUGAUAGCAUUGCAGAUAUCUGCAGGAAAAAUGUGCUGCUAGUUAUUUGUGUUAUCAUCAGUCAGUUCUAUAACUCUAGAAUAGAACAAAUAGUGCAAGUACCUGCACCUAUUAGAAAAUAUUUGGAACAUUUCAAGCUCAUGAUCAAGGGACUCAUGAGUAGCAUAUUGCCACUUUUUAAUUGCAUCACUCUUAAAGGUGUAUAUUCUGGAAUGGUAAUAAAGAUAAAAAAAAAAAUCUUCCCCCAGGAAAGGGCAGGAUUAACAUAAUAAGCACAACACAUAAAAGCACAGUCAGCUCAGCAUAAAUAUCUAUACAGCCAGCCUUCAAAUAUGAAUCUGCCUCAGUUCUUAAUAAAAGCAACUACAAAAGCACAGUGAAAGCAUAAUUCUAAUGGCAGUUUCUAUUAAAAUUUAAUGUAAUGACACA